AGGUUAUCAUUCUCGACUUCAGCAGCUGCCAGCUUCUGCCGCCUGCUGCUUCAGGAAGGACCGGAGGAGGAUCGGCAACAGGAACAGCCGGAUGCCAGUUUUGGUCAAAAGAUUGAGGCAGAUCUCCCGAGACCCUUACCAUCGAGACUUUUGGCUGCCCUCUGUUGGGAA